rnacentral:rRNA from 1 species
UACGUGGGGGGCAAGCGUUGUUCGGAAUUACUGGGCGUAAAGGGCUCGUAGGCGGCCAACUAAGUCAUACGUGAAAUCCCUCGGCUUAACCGGGGAACUGCGUCUGAUACUGGAUGGCUUGAGUUCGGGAGAGGGAUGCGGAAUUCCAGGUGUAGCGGUGAAAUGCGUAGAUAUCUGGAGGAACACCGGUGGCGAAGGCGGCAUCCUGGACCGAUACUGACGCUGAGGAGCGAAAGCCAGGGGAGCAAACGGG